rnacentral:rRNA from 1 species
UACGUAGGGGCCGAGCGUUGUCCGGAGUUAUUGGGCGUAAAGCGCGCGCAGGCGGCCUCGCGCGCCCGACGUGAAAGCCCCCGGCUUAACCGGGGAGGGUCGUUGGGGACGGCGGGGCUUGAGGGCGGGAGAGGGUGGUGGAGUUCCCGGUGUAGUGGUGAAAUGCGUAGAGAUCGGGAGGAACACCCGUGGCGAAGGCGGCCACCUGGGCCGACCCUGACGCUGAGGCGCGAAGGCGUGGGGAGCGAACGGG